UACGUAGGGUGCAAGCGUUGUCCGGAAUUAUUGGGCGUAAAGAGCUCGUAGGCGGUUUGUCGCGUCGGAUGUGAAAAUCCAGGGCUUAACCCUGGACCUGCAUUCGAUACGGGCAGACUAGAGUUCGGUAGGGGAGACUGGAAUUCCUGGUGUAGCGGUGAAAUGCGUAGAGAUCAUGAGGAAGACCAGUGGCGAAGGCGGGUCUCUGGACAGUUCCUGACACUGAGACACGAAGGCCAGGGGAGCAAACGGG
rnacentral:rRNA from 1 species